GGGCGGGGCCACCGUAAUUCCCGGAAGAGGCGCGCGCUCCCCUCGCGCUCCCUCCCGCCCGACAUUGAGUGACUGAGGGAAGGAGGGAGAAUUCGAAGCGCUCCAAAAGCGUCCUCCUGAGUGGCUGAGACAGUGUGCCUUUGGCUUUGUCAUGGCUCAUCGCCCACCAACGGGGAAGUGCUGUCAUUCCACAGUCAUGGAGCAGCUGAUGAAAAGGUCCUCUGGGGGAUGGUUGCAAAUCAGGUUCUGGUUGGAUGGAGUAAGCGUCUCCCAGAAGACCUCAAUGUCAUAAGGGGUGGAUUAUAUGGGAGAAGGCAACCCUUCAGUAUAACUUGCUAAUCUAACCUCUUGGGAUGACGACACAGAACUGCUGCUGAGGACCUAAACUCCAGGCAGACCCAUGUGAGAGGACAACACAAAAUCCACAGAGGACAAAACAAAAGCAAGCUUUCAAAGCUUCACUGGAUUCUUCAUCACACAAAAUAUUUUAAGUAUGCACAAGAAAGAAAGAAAAACCACUGUGUUGGGAUCACAGAGCUACAUUUCGUAUCAGAUGUUGUCUCAAGGUGGUCGAGAGGGAACUCAAUGAAGACAGAGGACACUCCUUUUGUGGCAUGCGGGGGCAAGACAACAGCUAAUAAAAUUUAAACUACAUCAGCCACAGUAAAGUGACUCCUCUUGGGAUCCAGGGUGUCUCCUUACCCUAUAAAGCCACAUCCCCCUCUGCCUGCAAUCUGAUUCCUUUUAAGGCAGAAAAAAGGCAUUUCUGAAGACAUGUCUGUGCUCGUAUAUCUGGGAAAACAUUAAGUGCUCUAUAGGUAAAGCUCAGCCAGUUCAAAAGAAACUUUAACUUUUAUUGGAGAUAGAAACCUCCAAGCCAUGUACGGCUUUGCAUGUUAAACAUGGGUGCAGCAGAGGCAAGGCUCAUAAAGACAACAGCCUGGAGGGUUUCUCCCCCAUAAAGCAGGAACUAUGGUAUCGUAUGCCGUUGCCACCAUCCUUGGGCUUCCCUGUUUCUUUUGAAUUUAGGUACAAUUCAAAUGGGUUGUCCCAGCAACAGUGCAUUUUGGGAGUUAUUCCUGUUGUUAGCAAAAGUAUUUGCAAGAGGCUUAGACCCAAAUGAGCAAGGCAAAUUGCCUACACAAAAGUCCUGUCCUAUUUGGAAAUGAAUACACGUGUUUGUGUUUCCACAAGGACUGUCAUGAUGAGGACCCACACUUCAACAUUCACCACUUCACCACUUCAUGGCACCCUAAAUUGAGCAUGAAAACAAAUGCUUAAAUGGAUAUAAAAGUAUGUACUGAGGGAUUCUGCAAUUUCUAACCAUGGUCAUUCUCAAAGCAGUGAAAGAGACCAAUAGCUGAUUUUAUAUAACUGCAUCAAUGAGCUCCUUUUCCUUUCUUUCUUUACUUUUUCAUAAAAUGCAGAGGUGAUCAUCCAUAUCAACUUAUCAUAUUAUUCAAUUGAGAAUUUUGAAAAGAAAAGUGAAAAAAAAUCUACUGAGGGGUCUUAAGGAAAAAGCAAAAGUAUAUUAACAGCCUAUUUAUAGCUCAGACACUCCUGUUACUCAAUUAUGUGUAGUUUUCCUCCAGUAUGUCCCAAUCAUCCACUUUUCUUCAACAAAAUGCAGCUACAAAAGCUAUAAUGUUCCAUUGAAGAACAUUGUGCACGUGUGAUCCACAUCCCUUCUUCCUCUGGCCAUUUUUUCUAUUAAAAUUUUAAUAAGUAACUUUAUUAUAAAGGUAACAUGAACUGAUAAGUAAGAGGGAAGGGCAGUCAAUUUUCCAGGGCCUAGCAACCAACCAACCAGUCUUGUUUGCUAUGAAGGAAGUGGAUCUAAGCCAUGCUGUGAAGUAGUGUGUAGAAAAGAGACAGAAAUCAGCAACCACCACUCCCAGAUGUUGUAGGAUUGCAGCUCUUUUCAUCAUUGGCUUUCUAGUCAGAGCUGAUAGGACUUGUAUUCCAACAACAUCUGGAGAACUUCGUGAUUCUCAUUACGAAUGCUGAGUGAGUAAGGGUUAUGAGUAAUUAAGUGAGUUAUUUUCUGGAACUAGGAAGCAUGAUGCCUUACAGGUCCCAGAAUCUGUAAGAAGUCAGGACUUGUCUAACCUCUAUUUCCUAACGACAGUAUUCAUGAAUUUUAGCUACGUUUGGGGCCCAAUGUUUGUGUAAUUUUCAAUUUAAUAUUGGACUGGAUUGAGUUUCUUACUCUACACUUCAAAACAUUUCAAAUAGGUUAAAUAUUUAUGUUGCUAUUCACAUAGUAAAUCUGGAGAUUUAAUUAGGAAAACAGUUUGAGAGAAAAACAUAUAACUUAAAAAUGAACAAGUUUUCUGGUCUAGAUGGCUUCUUUCCAUAACUCUAUAACCAUUUUAGAAUCCUUAUACAAAUCCUCAGUCAGUUUAAUGCAUAUGUGAAAUCAAUUACAGUUUCUGAUUCUUGUAUACUAAAAUUAUCCUAAUUGGUAAGAUGUGCAAAGAACCCACUGAUUUACAUCACCCAACAUCUCUUUAUGAAUUGGGGUUUUACCACUUUGUUUUCUGAUUAGGCAAAUUAAAAACUCAAAUGCAUCACAAUAAAGUUUGGUUUAUAUUGGAUACACAGAUUCUUCAAGAUUCUUCAAGUUGGGAGCCACAGGAGCCAUCUAGCCAUGUAGGAAUACACAAACAAGGAUGCAUUCACACUGUAGGAUUGAUGCAGUUUGACACCACUUUCACUGCCAUGACUCGAUGCUAUGGAAUCAUGGGAGUUGUAGUUUGGUGAGGUAGAGAAGUCAAAAGACAUCAUAAAACGACAACUCCUAGGUUUCAAUAACAUUGAGCCAUGGCUGUUCAAGUGACAACAAACUACUUUGAUUCUACAGUGUAGAUGCACCCUUUGGUCCUAUUUGGCCUAUUUGGCGAGGAGUGGGUGGUGCCCCAUAACUUUGCUUAUUAUGCAUAUAACACUAGCCAAGACACAUUUGGUGCCUCAAAUGUUAGCCCCAUUUCUUGGUAUAUUUGACCUGCUGAUUCCAAAAAUGGCACUAGGUUAUCCCUAUCAGCUCCAGUUUUUGAUAUACAUACACUAUAUACCAGUUGUCAUCUGCUCACCCAUAGAAAACCAUAACUGUAUCCAAUGACUUCAUCACACAUAGUAAAAUCAGUGUUUCUACACAUUUAAGAAAUGGCAACCCACCGUGCCCUUCACACAACACAAGCUUCAACUGUGAGAGUGAGGUGUUUUGCUGUUUCUAAAGUGUUGGUUUUUCUAACUAUUCCUAAGCCAGUUGGCAAUCAACUUAUUUUUAAAUUCCCUGCAUGAAGAUUGGCAAAAUGGCCAAUUUCCCCAUGUGAUGUUAAUCCCUGUUACCUGUUUUUGUUGCCUGCUUGCAAGUAAAAUGGUGACGCUGUGUGUAGGAGGAGCCGAAAUGCCCACUUCCCCAGAUCGCCAAUGCAGAGGCUUGGAGAAAAGGUUAAUUUAAAACCACUUUCCAUGA